rnacentral:rRNA from 1 species
GAUGAACGCUGGCGGCGUGCCUAAUACAUGCAAGUCGAGCGAACAGACGAUGAUCUUGCUCCUCUGACGUUAGCGGCGGACGGGUGAGUAACACGUGGAUAACCUACCUAUAAGACUUGGAUAACUUCGGGAAACCGUAGCUAAUACCGGAUAAUAUAUUUAACCGCAUGGUUGAAUAGUGAAAUACGGGUUUGCUGUCACUGAUAGAUGGAUCCGCGCCGCAUUAGCUAGUUGGUAAGGUAACGGCUUACCAAGGCAACGAUGCGUAGCCGACCUGAGAGGGUGAUCGGGCACACUGGAACUGAGACACGGUCCAGACUCCUACGGGAGGCCGCAGUAGGGAAUCUUGCGCAAUGGGCGAAAGCCUGACGGAGCACCGCCGCGUGAGUGAUGAAGGUCUUCGGAUCGUAAAACUCUGUUAUUAGGGAAGCACAAAUGUGUAAGUAACUAUGCACGUCUUGACGGUACCUAAUCAGAAAGCCACGGCUAACUACGUG